rnacentral:rRNA from 1 species
CCCUUAGAUGUUCUGGGCCGCACGCGCGCUACACUGAUGCAUUCAACGAGUGUACCUUGGCCGAGAGGCCUGGGCAAUCUUUUGAACGUGCAUCGUGAUAGGGAUAGAUUAUUGCAAUUAUUAAUCUUCAACGAGGAAUGCCUAGUAAGCGCAAGUCAUCAGCUUGCGUUGAUUACGUCCCUGCCCUUUGUACACACCGCCCGUCGCUCCUACCGAUUGAAUGGUCCGGUGAAGCGUUCGGACCGUGGCCUUUGGACGGUUCGCCGUCUGUUGGCUGCGGGAAGUUCGUUAAACCUUAUCAUUUAGAGGAAGGAGAAGUCGUANCA